CAUGACCAAAAAGUGCUUAUC
rnacentral:siRNA from 1 species